rnacentral:rRNA from 1 species
GCUAUAUGCUUGUUGUGUGGGCACGAGGAGGAGACGCUGUUACAUUCUUUGGUACAGUGUGUCCAUGCUACAACAUACUGGGCAGAGGCGGAGAAAUUUUUUGGUAUCACAUUACCGCGGCUGUUCCCGGGAACUUGGACUAGAGACUUGCUAGAUCCUCAGUUUUUGUCUAGAGACAAAGCAGCAAUUGCAAUAACAGUGAUGUGGGCAGUAUGGAAUAGUAGGAAUAAAUACUCGCAUGGCGAGGUGCAGUACCAGCCCAUGCGCUCAAUGGAACUGGUUCAGGAGAUGAUCAGAGCCCUUGCUGUUCCAGGCAAGGAAAAUGAUGCAGUACCCAAGCGGGCUGUGUGGCGGCCACCUGCUGUAGGGGUUGUCAAGCUGAAUACAGACACAGCGGUGGACAGGGGCGGAUCUGGGCCCCAGGCCCCCAGGGCCCAGGCCCGGGGCGUGGCUUUUUUUUUAGUUAUUACCUAG